UUAAGUCCCGCAACGAGCGCAACCCUUAUCCCUAGUUGCCAUCAGGUAAAGCUGGGAACUCUGGGGAGACUGCCGGUGAUAAACCGGAGGAAGGCGGGGAUGACGUCAAGUCCUCAUGGCCCUUACAUCCCGGGCUACACACGUGCUACAAUGGCAGGUACAGAGGGCUGCGAAGCCGCGAGGUGGAGCGAAUCCCAGAAAACCUGUCUCAGUCCGGAUUGAAGUCUGCAACUCGACUUCAUGAAGGCGGAAUCGCUAGUAACCGCGAAUCAGCAGGUCGCGGUGAAUACGUUCCCGGGCCUU
rnacentral:rRNA from 1 species